UUCGGGAAAAGUUUACUUCGGAG
rnacentral:siRNA from 1 species